GUUAUAGAGUAUACAAUGUAACAAACAAACUGGUUAACAUGAAGUGAAUAAAAAUACAAACUUCAAAAUCAUCAGUGUGAAUCUUUUUUUCUCUCUCUCGAAAAGAAGUUCGCCCUAGCCGCCGUCGUCAAGUCUUUACUUCGAUCUGAUCUUUCCGGUCACCGACGCUCCUCGCCGGAGUUGUGAGAGGGUCGUCCUUUGUCUGUCUCUUUCAUGUCUAGUUAAUCAUGAGCCUUCCCCAGCCCUUCUCCGACGAAUAGCUUCAAAGGUUUCGGAAUAGCAUCAAAGUUUGUAUCUUCUCCGUGUGCGGCGAGAUCCUCCUUGCGCGUCGCCUCCUUUUGGUUCGCGAUGGUGAACCGCGACUUGCUCUGUCUAAUCGAUGGCUGUUCUUGAGCGUAAUUUCAGAUAUGGUGUUUGUUGGCCUUAGUUGUUUGAUGGUAAUAGACGGGUCGUUGGUCUCUACUGCGGCUGAGAUGCUUUUGCCUCCUCUACGUUUGCUUGGUGGUGGUGAGAUCCUCCUUGCGCGUCGCCUCCUUUUGGUUCGCGAUGGUGAACCGCGACUUGUUCUGUCUAAUCGAUGACUGUUCUUGAGCGUAAUUUCAGAUAUGGUGUUCGUUGGCCUUAGUUGUUUGAUGGUAAUAGACGGGUCGUUGGUCUCUACUGCGGCUGAGAUGCUUUUGCCUCCUCUACGUUUGCUUGGUGGUGGUGAGAUCCUCCUUGCGCGUCGCCUCCUUUUGGUUCGCGAUGGUGAACCGCGACUUGUUCUGUCUAAUCGAUGACUGUUCUUGAGCGUAAUUUCAGAUAUGGUGUUCGUUGGCCUUAGUUGUUUGAUGGUAAUAGACGGGUCGUUGGUCUCUACUGCGGCUGAGAUGCUUUUGCCUCCUCUACGGUAACAUCUGGCCUUUGUAUUCUUCUGUCCUGUUAGUGCUGCCUUAGGUCUCUUUGUUUAGAAAGUGGUUAGGUUACCUUUGGCUACAUUCUCAUCAAGUCAAACUCGUUUGGUAUAUCCCCAGUUUGCUUGGUGGUGGCUUUAGUGUUAUCUUUGUUGAGUCAGUUCUUGGUUUUUCUUCGGUAGUUGAUAUGUUGGGGGUUAGAAUCUGGAAAUUGCUCUUCCUUUUCUUAGAGCCCUCUUGCUGGUUUGAGAUUAGUUUUAUGCUCUAGGUUCGUUCUUGGUGUUAGCCAUUUGGAUGGUAUUUUGUUGCUGAGUCACCUACUAGCCUUUCUUCGAGUUUCCUGUUGGAAGCUUUAGAGUUAGGUUUUAGUCAAAGCAGUGGAAUGGUUCUCUACUUCUUAUUUUGCGAAGACGUUGUCAGUUUUAAGUCUGUAGGUGGCUGAAGCUGGUUCGACGAGUGUCCGUGUGUAAGAAUAGCUGAUCUUGCGUGGCUUGUCUCCAGUCGUUUUAAAGGUUUCUGCCUUUUCCCUAAAGUUUUUAGUUCUCUCUAAUCGACUGGUGAGGUGUGAUGGAAGUUGUAUUUGUGUCUCUGGUCGUGUUGGGCUCCUUCUUUCUUCUCUGUCGAUUUGCUUUCUGGUUGUCUUUGGUGUGAGGUUUCCGGUCUUCUAGUGCUUUCGUCAUUUACAGGAUUUAUAGGGAAGUUUGAUGGGAAUCUUUUAUGCUUUUGUUCAAUUUUAGAGUUUAGUUCUUUUGUCUUCCCCUUGUAUUAUCUUUUGUUUGCAAUCUGUUUCCCUUUAUUUUGGGACUUUGUUUCUCUCUUGUAGGCUAAUGUUUCUGGGGAUAUUCUUGUAGUUUGCCGGCAUAUGUUUCCCUUGUUUGGGUAUUGUAUUCUAAACUGUUGUAAUCUACUUUGUUGUGAAACCAAAUUUAUCAAUAAAAUUUUAGAUGUU